rnacentral:rRNA from 1 species
GACGAACGCUGGCGGCGUGCUUAACACAUGCAAGUCGAACGAAGAGCGAUGGAAGCUUGCUUCUAUCAAUCUUAGUGGCGAACGGGUGAGUAACGCGUAAUCAACCUGCCCUUCAGAGGGGGACAACAGUUGGAAACGACUGCUAAUACCGCAUACGAUCUAACCUCGGCAUCGAGGAUAGAUGAAAGGUGGCCUCUACAUGUAAGCUAUCACUGAAGGAGGGGAUUGCGUCUGAUUAGCUAGUUGGAGGGGUAACGGCCCACCAAGGCGAUGAUCAGUAGCCGGUCUGAGAGGAUGAACGGCCACAUUGGGACUGAGACACGGCCCAGACUCCUACGGGAGGCAGCAGUGGGGAAUCUUCCGCAAUGGACGAAAGUCUGACGGAGCAACGCCGCGUGAGUGAUGACGGCCUUCGGGUUGUAAAGCUCUGUUAAUCGGGACGAGAGGCCUUCUUGCGAAUAGUUAGAAGGAUUGACGGUACCGGAAGAGAAAGCCACGGCUAACUACGUG